rnacentral:rRNA from 1 species
UGGGGAAUAUUGCACAAUGGGCGAAAGCCUGAUGCAGCGACGCCGCGUGAGCGAAGAAGUAUUUCGGUAUGUAAAGCUCUAUCAGCAGGGAAGAUAAUGACGGUACCUGACUAAGAAGCACCGGCUAAAUACGUGCCAGCAGCCGCGGUAAUACGUAUGGUGCAAGCGUUAUCCGGAUUUACUGGGUGUAAAGGGAGCGUAGACGGCAAUGCAAGUCUGAAGUGAAAGGACGGGGCUUAACCCUGUGACUGCUUUGGAAACUGUGUAGCUUGAGUGCCGGAGGGGUAAGCGGAAUUCCUAGUGUAGCGGUGAAAUGCGUAGAUAUUAGGAGGAACACCAGUGGCGAAGGCGGCUUACUGGACGGUAACUGACGUUGAGGCUCGAAAGCGUGGGGAGCAAACAGGAUUAGAUACCCUGGUAGU